GAGGGUAUAGCUCAGUGUUAAGUAUAGCACAUGCUUAGCAUGCAUGAGGUCCUGGGCUCAAUCCCCAGUACCUCCA
rnacentral:tRNA from 1 species